UACGUAGGGGGCUAGCGUUGUCCGGAAUCAUUGGGCGUAAAGCGCGUGUAGGCGGUCCGGUAAGUCCGCUGUGAAAGUCGGGGGCUCAACCCUCGGAUGCCGGUGGAUACUGUCGGGCUUGAGUACGGAAGAGGCGAGUGGAAUUCCCAGUGUAGAGGUGAAAUUCGUAGAUAUUGGGAAGAACACCCGUGGCGAAAGCGGCUCUCUGGAACGGUACUGACGCUGAGACGCGAAAGCGUGGGGAGCGAACAGG
rnacentral:rRNA from 1 species